AGAGCGAACGCUGGCGGCAGGCCUAAUACAUGCAAGUCGAACGAGCCCUUCGGGGUUAGUGGCGGACGGGUGAGUAACACGUGGGAACGUGCCUUUUGGUUCGGAACAACUCAGGGAAACUUGAGCUAAUACCGAAUGUGCCCUUCGGGGGAAAGAUUUAUCGCCAUUAGAGCGGCCCGCGUCUGAUUAGCUAGUUGGUGAGGUAAAGGCCCACCAAGGCUACGAUCAGUAGCUGGUCUGAGAGGAUGAUCAGCCACACUGGGACUGAGACACGGCCCAGACUCCUACGGGAGGCAGCAGUAGGGAAUCUUGCGCAAUGGGCGAAAGCCUGACGCAGCCAUGCCGCGUGAAUGAUGAAGGUCUUAGGAUUGUAAAAUUCUUUCAGCGGGACGAUAAUGACGGUACCCGCAGAAGAAGCCCCGGCUAACUUCGUGCCAGCAGCCGC
rnacentral:rRNA from 1 species